rnacentral:lncRNA from 1 species
CUGCCGACUGUGAAGGUCUGCCGCAGCUGAUCUGGAAUGAAAACAGUCCUGGGAAGAGAAUUCGAACGCAACGUUGAAUACAUUUAAAAAUGUUAUUCAAAUGACUGCAGAAAGUUCGGUUUCAUGAAAUUAGAACAACUGGGAGCCUGGAACGACACUUCACAUUUCUUGUUUUACAAGGAGGAGCUGGGCUGAACCUACCCACUUCUCAGAGGCCUAACAUUGCAAGUCCCAUUGUGGAUUUAACUGGAAUGGGAGCUGCCAAUGUCCGGUUCUGCUGAAAUGUGAGAGGCUGG